UGGCUCAGGACGAACGCUGGCGGCGUGGCCUAACACAUGCAAGUCGAGCGAGGAGAUUCCUUCGGGAUGAUCCUAACGGCGGACGGGUGAGUAACACGUGGGCAACCUGCCUCAUAGAGAGGAAUAGCCUUCCGAAAGGGAGAUUAAUACCUCAUAACAUUGCAGUUUCGCAUGGAACAGCAAUUAAAGGAGUAAUCCGCUAUGAGAUGGGCCCGCGGCGCAUUAGCUAGUUGGUGAGGUAACGGCUCACCAAGGCGACGAUGCGUAGCCGACCUGAGAGGGUGAUCGGCCACAUUGGGACUGAGACACGGCCCAGACUCCUACGGGAGGCAGCAGUGGGGAAUAUUGCACAAUGGGGGAAACCCUGAUGCAAGCAACGCCGCGUGAGUGAUGACGGCCUUCGGGUUGUAAAGCUCUGUCUUCAGGGACGAUAAUGACGGUACCUGAGGAGGAAGCCACGGCUAACUACGUGCCAGCAGCCGC
rnacentral:rRNA from 1 species